CCCUUAGGUGUUCUGGGCGGCCCGCGCACUACAUUGGCACUCUCAAUAAGUUCCUAGAUCUAAAACUUUGGGGUAUUCUAUUAAGUGGUGUCGUGACUGGGAUUAACCCUUGCAAUUAUUGGUUACGAACGAGGAAUUCCUUGUAAUCGCGGUUUAUCAGCCCGCGUUGAAUGCGUCCCUGCCCUUUGUACACACCGCCCGUCGCUCCUACCGAUGAAUCGUCCGGUGAAGUUCAUGGAGUGGUGGUUGUUCCAGCUGCUGUCGAAGUGAAAUGGACCUCACGAUUUAGAGGAAGGAGAAGUCGUAACA
rnacentral:rRNA from 1 species